UACGUAGGGGGCGAGCGUUGUCCGGAAUUAUUGGGCGUAAAGGGCGCGCAGGCGGUCUGUUAAGUCUGUGGUGAAAUGACCGGGGCUCAACCCCGGCAGUGUCCGCCAGGAGACUGGCAGACUGGAGUAUCGGAGAGGAGUGCGGGAAUACCUGGAUGUAGCGGUGGAAGUGACGUAGAGAUCUGAGGUGGAACACCGAUGGCGAAGGCAGCACUCUGGCCGAGUUACUGAGUGAGGCGCGGAAAGCUGGGGGAGCGAACGGG
rnacentral:rRNA from 1 species